ensembl:lncRNA
AAUGGUCCACCACCCUAAAGACAUCCAGCCAACUUGGCACAACUGUGGGAAUCAUUGGAGUCAGCAUGGGCCAGCAUCCUUGUGGAAUGCUUUCGACACCUUGUAGAGUCCAUACCCCGAUGAAUUGAGCCUGUUCUGAGGGCAAAAGGGGGUGGAACGCAAUAUUAGGAAGGUGUUCCUAAUGUUUUGUACACAGUGUAUAUGGGGCAAUUUUAAGAAUUAAGAGUUAUCUGUAAUGGUUAUGAUUAAUUAGGCAUUGUUGAACACUGUUGGCAUAGGCCUAUAGAUAAAUGUGAAUAUUUUGUUUUAAUCCAGUGCAGGCCUACUUGGGUACUCUGAAAAAAACAAUGGGAGAACUCUGAACAGUAAAAAAAAAAAAAAAAAAAAAUGCCCAUCCCUAGUACCUAGUAGCCUACUACAUCAUUCCUUCUAAAUAUACAUUUAAUUAUUCUAACUCAUUUGGUGUUUCAUUACAGACUGAGAUUAGGUUUUGUGUGUAAUUAUAGUAAGGUGGUAAGUGUAUUGUUAGUGUUCAAGUAGACCCCAGUAUAUUGCUAUUCUGAAACAGUAUGAGGUGAGUAUGUGUGUGUGUGUAGUUAUUAGAGUGUGUGUAAUUGAGGUAUGUAAUCUGAUUAUACCAUUCUGCUUUGACUUGGUCUGCGAUCUAACACACACAAGCACAAGACCUAUGAGCUGUCUGAUUAAACCCUGCUGCUCUCACUGAGACUGAGACAGCAGUGGUCGUUAACAUUACUCCCUCAGUCGGCUGUACUACCACACACUCACGAGAGCUCUCGGCUGUUCCACUAGCAGUAGUAGCAGUACCAGGAUUGACUUGGGAUCAACUCAUACAGGACACACUCCUAAAGGACUCAUACAGGAUCUCUUGACAACAGGAGGCCACGCAUUAACACUGACAGUCUCAUACAGCGACAGGCACAAACGUAUGUUAGUCAACCAGUGGUGUCUAGUGAGGCUACGGCUGAGGGACCGGGGAAGAGUUUGUCAAUGGAGCUGGCGGCUGGUACUACUAAUGCUGCUACAGCUGCUGCCUACACAUAGAAGAUUCUGGACUAUAUGGAAGGCUUCCUGGUCUCCAAGGUAACACACAUAGAUACACCCACAUAGGAUUCAAGUCCCAUUCUCGGGCACUGUUUGAUGGUUGUGUGUUUUACCCUGUCCUCUCCCC